GUCUGAAUAUGGGGGGACCAUCCUCCAAGGCUAAAUACUCCUGACUGACCGAUAGUGAACCAGUACCGUGAGGGAAAGGCGAAAAGAACCCCGGCGAGGGGAGUGAAAAAGAACCUGAAACCGUGUACGUACAAGCAGUGGGAGCACAGGUUUACCUGUGUGACUGCGUACCUUUUGUAUAAUGGGUCAGCGACUUAUAUUCUGUAGCAAGGUUAACCGUAUAGGGGAGCCGUAGGGAAACCGAGUCUUAACCGGGCGUUAAGUUGCAGGGUAUAGACCCGAAACCCGGUGAUCUAGCCAUGGGCAGGUUGAAGGUUGGGUAACACUAACUGGAGGACCGAACCGACUAAUGUUGAAAAAUUAGCGGAUGACCUGUGGCUGGGGGUGAAAGGCCAAUCAAACCGGGAGAUAGCUGGUUCUCCCCGAAAGCUAUUUAGGUAGCGCCUCGUGAAUUCAUCUCCGGGGGUAGAGCACUGUUUCGGCUAGGGGGCCAUCCCGGCUUACCAACCCGAUGCAAACUGCGAAUACCGGAGAAUGUUAUCACGGGAGACACACGGCGGGUGCUAACGUCCGUCGUGAAGAGGGAAACAACCCAGACCGCCAGCUAAGGUCCCAAAGUCAUGGUUAAGUGGGAAACGAUGUGGGAAGGCCCAGACAGCCAGGAUGUUGGCUUAGAAGCAGCCAUCAUUUAAAGAAAGCGUAAUAGCUCACUGGUCGAGUCGGCCUGCGCGGAAGAUGUAACGGGGCUAAACCAUGCACCGAAGCUGCGGCAGCGACGCUGAUGCGUUGUUGGGUAGGGGAGCGUUCUGUAAGCCUGCGAAGGUGGCCUGUGAGGGUUGCUGGAGGUAUCAGAAGUGCGAAUGCUGACAUAAGUAACGAUAAAGCGGGUGAAAAGCCCGCUCGCCGGAAGACCAAGGGUUCCUGUCCAACGUUAAUCGGGGCAGGGUGAGUCGACCCCUAAGGCGAGGCCGAAAGGCGUAGUCGAUGGGAAACGGGUUAAUAUUCCCGUACUUGGUGUUACUGCGAAGGGGGGACGGAGAAGGCUAUGUUGGCCGGGC
rnacentral:rRNA from 1 species